CCCACAGCGAAUCUCGGAGUCCAGGUCAGGACUGGGAGCAGACCGGUCAGGGGGGAGUCCAGGAGAUCCACUUCAGACCUCUGCCGGCUCUCUUCCUGAAGAGCUUCCUGAGCGUCUGGAGAAGCGACGGAGGCGCACACGUCCGGCGUGGCUUCAGGUCGACGUCUCGCAGGGGCACCCAGAGAAAAACACCAUCUCGUUCACACUGGCAGGACAUUCUGAAACACCCGUCCACAGAGGAACACAUGAGCCCAGGCACACAGACCCACACACAAUCCUCACCGAUCCACUGCCCACUGCUGGACUAACAGCCGCUGCUGAAAGACUGGAGGAUCAGGCACAACACAAACCCAGGCAUCUGGGGAGUCUGUCCAGCAGUCUGACCGCAGCUGGGACUGACCGGUCCACCAGCAAAACACCCCUGUGAGGAAAGAGCCAGCUGGACACAGAGCAGGACAUUCUGUUCAAGUACAGUGAGGAGGGGGAGCUGGAGGCUAUCCCAGCAAUCAAAGGGGGUUCAACCUGGACAGGACACCAGUCCAUCACAGGACACACACACACACACCCUGGACAGGACACCAGUCAAUCACAGGACACACUCACACCCCCUGGACAGGACACCAGUCCAUCACACUACACACUCACAGCCCCUGGACAGGACACCAGUCCAUCACAGGACACAGAAAAACACACACACCCUGGACAGGACACCAGUCCAUCACAGGACACACUCACACACCCUGGACAGGACACCAGUCCGUCACAGGACACCAGUCCGUCACAGGACACACACACCCUGAACAGGACACCAGUCCAUCACAGGACACACACACCCUGAACAGGACACCAGUCCAUCACAGGACACACACCUGGACUUUUUUCCCAGGUAACCCUGUGCAGAACGGUCGCUGUGCGUCUCCCAGGUGGGUUACUCGUGCAGAACGAUCCCUGUGCGUCUCCCAGGUGGGGCCGCUGGUGCAGAACACUCACUGUGCGUCUCCCAGGUGGGGUAACUUCUGCAGAACGAUCCCUGUGCAUCUCCCGGAUGGGGCCACUGGUGCAGAAGGACCCCUGUGCGUCUCCCAGGUGAGGUUACUCAUGCAGAACAAUCCCUGUGCGUCUCCCGGGUGGGGCCGCCGGUGCAGAACGAUCCCUGUGCGUCUCCCGGGUGGGGCCGCCGGUGCAGAAUGA
rnacentral:lncRNA from 1 species